AUGGUAGCACAUGAAUUUAUUGUUAAAAAUAAGAAGAUGAUGCUUGAGUAUAAUUUGGGAUUUAAUAAAACUCACAGUGAGACUAUUAUCUUGCCUGCACCAUCUUUGCUUAACAUAUUUUCAGGCACGUACCUCAUCUUGCCGGAGGCCGUUUACGCAUACCGGAGCCUAACACCAGCUCCAGAGCCUGAGCCGGAACCACCACUGGACCCUUAUCGACGCUCCAUUUAUAAGUGGUAUUCGGAGGAGAUUGCCAACCAGUGGCACCCUGAUGACAUUCCUCAGUACACCGGAGAGAGUAGCUUCAAUCCAUGGGCAUAG
rnacentral:rRNA from 1 species